AGUGAACGCUGGCGGUAGGCCUAACACAUGCAAGUCGAACGGCAGCACAGUAAGAGCUUGCUCUUACGGGUGGCGAGUGGCGGACGGGUGAGGAAUACAUCGGAAUCUACUUUUUCGUGGGGGAUAACGAAGGGAAACUUACGCUAAUACCGCAUACGACCUACGGGUGAAAGAAGGGGAUCUUCGGACCUUGCGCGAUUGAUUGAGCCGAUGUCGGAUUAGCUAGUUGGCGGGGUAAAGGCCCACCAAGGCGACGAUCCGUAGCUGGUCUGAGAGGAUGAUCAGCCACACUGGAACUGAGACACGGUCCAGACUCCUACGGGAGGCAGCAGUGGGGAAUAUUGGACAAUGGGCGCAAGCCUGAUCCAGCCAUACCGCGUGGGUGAAGAAGGCCUUCGGGUUGUAAAGCCCUUUUGUUGGGAAAGAAAAGCAGCAGGUUAAUACCCCGCUGUUCUGACGGUACCCAAAGAAUAAGCACCGGCUAACUUCGUG
rnacentral:rRNA from 1 species